rnacentral:rRNA from 1 species
AGUGAACGCUGGCGGUAGGCCUAACACAUGCAAGUCGAACGGCAGCACAGUAAGAGCUUGCUCUUACGGGUGGCGAGUGGCGGACGGGUGAGGAAUACAUCGGAAUCUACUUUUUCGUGGGGGAUAACGUAGGGAAACUUACGCUAAUACCGCAUACGACCUACGGGUGAAAGCAGGGGAUCUUCGGACCUUGCGCGAUUGAAUGAGCCGAUGUCGGAUUAGCUAGUUGGCGGGGUAAAGGCCCACCAAGGCGACGAUCCGUAGCUGGUCUGAGAGGAUGGUCAGCCACACUGGAAGUGAGACACGGUCCAGACACCUACAGGAGGCCACAGUGGAGAAUAUUGGACAAGGGACGCGAGCCUGAUCCAGCCAUACCGCGUGGGUGAAGAAGGACUUCGGGUUGUAAAGCCCUUUUGUUGGGAGAGAAGAGCAGCAGGUUAAUACCCCGCUGUUCUGACGGUACCCAAAGAAUAAGCACCGGCUAACUUCGUG